CCCUUAGAUGUUCUGGGCCGCACGCGCGCUACACUGACGAUGGCAACGAGUUUUUCCUUCGCCGAAAGGUGUGGGUAAUCUUUUGAAACAUCGUCGUGCUGGGGAUAGAUCAUUGCAAUUUUUGAUCUUGAACGAGGAAUUCCUAGUAAGCGCGAGUCAUCAGCUCGCGUUGAUUACGUCCCUGCCCUUUGUACACACCGCCCGUCGCUACUACCGAUUGAAUGGUUUAGUGAGGACUCCUGAUUGGCGCCGCCGCCCCGGCAACGGAGCAGCGGACUGCCGAAAAGUUGUUCAAACUUGAUCAUUUAGAGGAAGUAAAAAUCGUAACA
rnacentral:rRNA from 1 species